rnacentral:lncRNA from 1 species
UGAAGGAGUGUUAUGCGCUCAUCAUUUUCCAUCCAAUUUCCAGAUAAUAUCAGAGAAAAAUGAAGGAAAGAAAAUAAAGAUAGGAUGCAGAACAGUGCUGAAAGAAGCAGUAAAGAGAAGGCAAGAAAGAGAAAGACCCUGAAAGCAUUGAAACCCUGGUUUCAGGCACCCUGACGAAUCUAUGGUACAGGAAAGUUGAAACACUCAAAGAACAAUGAUUCCAGCAAAAUAGGCACUUUUGUGUAUUCCAUGUGUUGAUCAAGAAAUAAGAAGAUAUGCUAAUAAACAAGAGGAGGAAAGAGAGCUGGGGCAUGCCUACUGCUCUGAAUAUUCAAAAAACAGGGAUGAGGUGUAGUAAAAAGAAGCAAAGAGGAGAAAAGAUGGAAAUAGAGGCUGUAUUGGUUUUCUAGGGGUGCCAUAAUAAAAUACCACAGGUUGGGUGGCUUAAACA